AUUGAACGCUGGCGGCAGGCCUAACACAUGCAAGUCGAGCGGAGCGGCGGACGGGUGCGUAAUGCCUAGGUAUCUGCCUGGUAGUGGGGGAUAACGUCCGGAAACGGGCGCUAAUACCGCAUACUAUCAGAUGAGCCUAGGUCGGAUUAGCUAGUGGGUGGGGUAAAGGCCUACCAAGGCGACGAUCCGUAACUGGUCUGGGAGGAGGAUCAGUAACACUGGAACUGAGACACGGUCCAGACUCCUAAGGGAGGAAGCAGUGGGGAAUAUUGGACAAUGGGCGAAAGCCUGAUCCAGCCAUGCCGCGUGUGUGAAGAAGGGCUUCGGAUUGUAAAGCACUUUAAGUUGGGAGGCGUUACCAACAGAAUAAGCACCGGCUAACUUCGUGCCAGCCGCCGCGGUAAUAC
rnacentral:rRNA from 1 species